CCUCAAAUAAUGGUAUUAUCUCUAAGCCCAAUCUUCGAGAAAUUAUAUCCUAUACUAUGUGCAUUGCAUUGCAGUACACCUUGUCAAUCAUAACCACUCAUUCCUAUAAGAUGCAUUGAGAUGGGCACUUAAUGAAUGAGAUCUAGAGGAACAAGCAACUAUUGAUGUUCAUGCAUCAUCAUAUGGUGAACUCAGUGUAGAUAUAAUUUCUCUUAGUCUUGAGGCCAAGAAUGUCUCUAACAGUUGUCAUGCCGCAUGGCAUGUG
rnacentral:lncRNA from 1 species